AGCAGCCGCGGUAAUUCCAGCUCCAAUAGCGUAUAUUAAAGUUGUUGCAGUUAAAAAGCUCGUAGUUGAAUUUCGGGAUCGACGGGUCGGUCGCGCCUCUGGUGUGUACUGGCCCUGUCGGUUUCUCCCUUCUGACGAACCACGAUGUCAUUAAUUUGGUGUCGUGGGAAAUCAGGACUGUUACUUUGAAAAAAUUAGAGUGUUUAAAGCAGGCAUUCGCUUGAAUACAUUAGCAUGGAAUAAUGAAAUAGGACGUUUGAUCUUAUUUUGUUGGUUUCUAAGAUCGACGUAAUGAUUAAUAGGGAUAGUUGGGGGCAUUAGUAUUCAAUUGUCAGAGGUGAAAUUCUUGGAUUUAUUGAAGACUAACUACUGCGAAAGCAUUUGCCAAGGAUGUUUUCAUUAAUCAAGAACGAAAGUUAGGGGAUCGAAGACGAUCAGAUACCGUCGUAGUCUUAACCAUAAACUAUGCCGACUAGGGAUCGGAUGAUGUUAAUUUUUUAAUGACUCAUUCGGCGCCUUACGG
rnacentral:rRNA from 1 species